UACGUAGGUGGCGAGCGUUGCCCGGAUUUACUGGGCGUAAAGGGAGCGUAGGCGGACUUUUAAGUGAGAUGUGAAAUACCCGGGCUCAACCUGGGUGCUGCAUUUCAAACUGGAAGUCUAGAGUGCAGGAGAGGAGAGUGGAAUUCCUAGUGUAGCGGUGAAAUGCGUAGAGAUUAGGAAGAACACCAGUGGCGAAGGCGACUCUCUGGACUGUAACUGACGCUGAGGCUCGAAAGCGUGGGGAGCAAACAGG
rnacentral:rRNA from 1 species